AUUUAUUGGAGAGUUUGAUCCUGGCUCAGGACGAACGCUGGCGGCAUGCCUAAUACAUGCAAGUCGAGCGGAGUAUCAAGGAAGCUUGCUUCCUUGAUACUUAGCGGCGGACGGGUGAGUAACACGUAGGCAACCUGCCCUCAAGUUUGGGACAACUACCGGAAACGGUAGCUAAUA
rnacentral:rRNA from 1 species